rnacentral:rRNA from 1 species
AGCGCAGGCGGACCGGCAAGUUGGAAGUGAAAACUAUGGGCUCAACCCAUAAAUUGCUUUCAAAACUGCUGGCCUUGAGUAGUGCAGAGGUAGGUGGAAUUCCCGGUGUAGCGGUGGAAUGCGUAGAUAUCGGGAGGAACACCAGUGGCGAAGGCGACCUACUGGGCACCAACUGACGCUGAGGCUCGAAAGCAUGGGUAGCAAACA